CGCCCUUGAGUUUGAUCAUGGCUCAGAUUGAACGCUGGCGGCAGGCCUAACACAUGCAAGUCGAGCGGAUGAAGAGAGCUUGCUCUCUGAUUCAGCGGCGGACGGGUGAGUAAUGCCUAGGAAUCUGCCUGGUAGUGGGGGACAACGUCUCGAAAGGGACGCUAAUACCGCAUACGUCCUACGGGAGAAAGCAGGGGACCUUCGGGCCUUGCGCUAUCAGAUGAGCCUAGGUCGGAUUAGCUAGUUGGUGAGGUAAUGGCUCACCAAGGCAACGAUCCGUAACUGGUCUGAGAGGAUGAUCAGUCACACUGGAACUGAGACACGGUCCAGACUCCUACGGGAGGCAGCAGUGGGGAAUAUUGGACAAUGGGCGAAAGCCUGAUCCAGCCAUGCCGUUUUUUUUGAAGAAGGUCUUCGGAUUGUAAAGCACUUUAAGUUGGGAGGAAGGGUUGUAGAUUAAUACUCUGCAAUUUUGACGUUACCGACAGAAUAAGCACCGGCUAACUCUGUGCCAGCAGCCGCGGUAA
rnacentral:rRNA from 1 species